rnacentral:lncRNA from 1 species
CUCUCUGUAAUAUGUUCCAACAUCGGUAUGUGCUGGAGUUAGAGAACAUGUAUUUUGCUAACUCUAUUCCAACUGAGGGCAUAUACAUAGUGACUCACCUUUCUAGAGAAUGGAAACAUUCAAUAUUUCUGAACAAAGCAUUCAGAACAAUAGUUCACAAAAACAUACAGUGGUAUAUACAUAGCGACUCACCUUGAUGUCCAAUUUCAUCACGAGUCACAUUCAAAGUUAAUAUGCAAUUAACAUCAACUUAAUAUAACUCUAUGAAAUAGGAAAACAUAUAGUAGUAAUCUCAAAACGCACAAGUUCGUAUCAUAUAAACAAUCUUGUAAUGUAUACAUAUUCAAGCAUCAACGUAUGAAUUUCAAACUUUUCUUGACAUGCCAGAGUAUAUCAAAUGCAUAUAUCUUUAAAAAAAACUCAAAUCAUUGAACAUAAAUGCUCAGUUAGGAAUUAAAUUUCCUGAUCAUGCUUGUUUAUGAUAAAACAAGUCAUAGUUCAAGUCAUUGCUCACCUUCAUUACCUUAUAAAGAAAAAGUCAGAGUUCAAGUCAUCACUCACCUCCAUUGCCAAUUAACUCAAAUCAUACUUUUUUUAUGACGAUAGUGUUUGGAUCAACUUACGAGCACCUGGGACUAUUUCAGCGCGUACCUGCUACCUCCUGUGAUCGCGGUAUGAGUGGCGCGAUCGCGAUGAAGAACUUUUAAUGGCACUCCGCGAUUGUGGACUUCUAGCAUGGUCACCUAGGUAACUCUGACCACCUAAGCUUUGGAAGAUGGAAAUAAAUCACAUAGUAUUUUUGCCUCCGUUGGAUUUGAAUCGGUUUCUUGUAGUUCUCCUCCCACUUCAUUGACCAUUAUGCCACUGCCUUGGGUGCAACUAAAAUCUGACUUCCGAUCAACAAAAUUAUUCAAUUCGUCAAUGAAUCUGUAAAGCAACACAUAGUUUAGAGUUACAACCUACCAACUUCAUAUUUUAAUCAAUUCAAGUAAUAGGAAGUCACAAUGCACAUUACCUGAAGUCUUGGCUAACUCAAAGUUCCCUCGACUACGCUUUUCAUAGUUAUUCUCAACCAAAUUCCUUACAAUUUCUCCAUACUCAAUCCAUAGGUCAACCAUCAAUAGAUCAAUGUCUCCAUAAUAAUUCUUACCCAAGGUGCCCAUAUCAAUUAGACAGAAGAAUCCAAUUAAUAUGCAGUCCAACAUAUAGGUGUAGCCUAGAAGUCAAUGAAGUGGUUGCAAACCUUGAGCAACACAGUCCAAAUUCUACCAGAGGAAAAAACACUAGUUCGUUUCUACGUACAUGUAUUGUGACGGUGGAAGGUAGCAGAGGUAUCCGUUGAAAGCACCUAUAUUGGUAGAAGGUAGAAGGUGUCCAUUAAUAUUGUCAAUGUGAGUGCAAACGUGUCCGAAAACAACUGUUAUAAAAAAAAUUACAUAUAUGCAUGAAAACCCACAAUUUCCAAGUUCUCAUUUCCCAAUUAAAUCUUUAACCCAAUUAUACUUCAUACAUAACAUAAUGAUACCCAUAAGAUUAUAAGCCAAAUUCAUAACUUGAGGACCGAUUCUUACCUCAAAUAGGUAAAAUCCACGGAUUCUGCUGACGGGUAACCUCCUACUCUUCAACUCCAAGAAGAACUAGUUGAGAAAUGGAGGUUUCUAAUCUCAUAAUCUCGUGCUUCCUAUUCAAAAUUUCAAUCACCCAAUUGUUCUUGAGCUCAAAGUUCUCAAUCGCAAAGUAUUUGGAAUGUAUUAAAUUUGGGUCGAAGAAGAACUUACAAAUAACCGCUCUUGAAGAAAUGAGAGUCGCUGUUUUUAUAUUCUUUUAUAUACUAUGUAAAUAAGAAUGUUAGGGCACGGGUGAAAAAGGCAGAAACUUCUUUUCAUCACUAUCUUUUCCUUUUCAAUAUUCUUACAUGGUAUCAGAGCAGUGAAAGCUCGAUCCAUCAGUCGUCUUCCUCAUCUUCAUAUCAAUUGUAAACAAUGUCGGAUAACACUGCAAACACAGUGGCUCUGAACACCACUGGAGGAAUCCCUACCAUCGACUCAAACCAUGCAUAUUUUUU